GAUGAACGCUGGCGGCGUGCCUCAAACAUGCAAGUCGAGCGGGGCUAUGUAAUAUCGCAAGGUAGAACAUAGCCUAGCGGCGAACGGGUGAGUAACACGUGGGUAACCUGCCUGGAAGACAGGGAUAACGAUUCGAAAGGGUCGCUAAUACCUGAUAAUAUCCUUUCAUCGCAUGGUGAUAGGAAGAAAGGGGAAACCCGCUUUCAGAUGGGCCCGCGUCCCAUCAGCUAGUUGGUAAGGUAAAGGCUUACCAAGGCGACGACGGGUAGCCGGUCUGAGAGGAUGUACGGCCACACUGGGACUGAGAUACGGCCCAGACUCCUACGGGAGGCAGCAGUUGGGAAUCUUAGGCAAUGGACGAAAGUCUGACCUAGCGACGCCGCGUGAGGGAAGAAGGCCUUCGGGUUGUAAACCUCUGUCAUGGGGAAGAAGUAAGUGACGGUACCCCAAGAGGAAGCCCCUGCUAACUACGUGC
rnacentral:rRNA from 1 species